ACGGAGUCGGCUGGUUUCCAAGUUUCCAAGGUUUCCAAGCUGCCCAGGAGUGCUUCCUCUGGAAUGAGACGCCUUCCUUCUCCUGCCAGGAGCUAGUCUGGCCACCCCCAGAGGCUGAAAAUGAAGACUCUCCUGGGAAGCCCUUGGCUAAGGAUUGGAUCUGCCUGGCCCCAAAGUCAUCAAAACAACAGCUGGGCCUGGUGGGGGUUGGGAGGUGACUGUAGAGAUCAACUCCUAAGCUUAAGUGGCUGCUAGCUGGGUGAGGAACUCUGUCAUAGCAGCUGUCUGAGACAUUCUGUUUCUGAAAGGUGUUUCCCAGCUUCCCAAGCCCAUCUUGAAGCCUUGGGUGUCCUCCAGGUGGCCCUGGGAAAGUCCAAGGGGGGUAAUGGGAUGACCUACUUUAGCCCAAUCUUUCAGAUUUUCUUCUCAUUUAUUAUAUUUUAUUUUUCCUGGCGUGUUUCCAAAGGAACUCAGUUGCAGGGCAUGCUGGUUUAUGAUUGCAAUCUUAGCACUAGGGAGGCUGAGGCAGAAGAAUUGCUGUGAGUUUGAGGCCAGCCUGGGCUAUAAAAUAAGAUUCUGUAAAAAAAACAAAACACCAUUGUGCUGUGAAAUGGAGCUGGGUAGCAGGGUAUAGCCUAGUGUUUGUGUGAGGCAGAGAGAUGACCUAGAUUCCAUUCACAGCAUCACAAAAAAAAAAAAAAAAAAAAGAAAAAGAAAGAAAGAAAGAAGAAAGAAAAAUAAAAAUGACUGUGGAGAUUGUAGGAGGUCUGUGGAAGUGUGGAAGAGGUCUAGGGUCUGUAUUUAGCUGUGAAGAACACAGCUGUGUCAUCUGGUAGAGAAGCAGAGCCUGGGUACUGAGGAAAUGAGCUAGCUCACCACACAGCCAGGUGCAGAUCUGGGGUCAUUGCUCCUUCCUAACCCUCUUCAGAGGUCCUAAGGGCACCUGCUGUCUCCACCACCGUACGGACAGGUCCCUGAAAGGGGGUUUUGGACUAAAGGGAAGAGUGAGCCUGGUUCUUCAGUCAUAACGUCCGCUUUCCAUUCCCUGAGGUCCCCACCGCUGGAAGACUCCCUUUCAAGACUACUUGGACCUUCCUUGGGAUGGGACAGGAACCUUGGGUGACUUCUUACAGAAGCAUUUCAGCCAGGACCCAAAGCUGGGGGUCCCAUGUCAAGAUGGAGUGUUACUGUUCAGCUAAUGGCAUAUUUGGGGUUUACAGUCUAUCUCUGA